rnacentral:sRNA from 5 species
AUAUCUCUCUGUACGGGAAGGAUGAGAAGCUUCGACUAAGGUUCGAUUCGAGCGAAAGCGAGAGAACGUUGCCAACGGCAACGGCCCGAAGGGCGAAGCGCGCAGCGCUGAGUCAUCCUUCCCCCACCACCA